UGGGCAUGUAACAAAUGCAAUGCACUGAUUAAAAUGAAAAGGAGACAGCACUGCAACUGACCAUGGGUUUUCAGGUCACCAAACUGGCUGCUAAUUUACUACUAGCUGUACAGCAGCUUCUCUGGGCUGCUGUGUCUACUGGCAAAAGAAUCUGCCUGUUGAGGAAAGAGAGAACCCUCCUACUCUUUCAACCAAGUAGUCACCAAGAUACAAAAAAGAUGGUACAAACCAGCACUUGGGAAGCUGAGGCAAGAGGAUUGCUGUGAGUUCAAGCCCAGCCUAAGCUAUAAAGUGAGUUCAACACCAGCCUGGACUGCCUAGCCAGACCCUGUCUCCAAAAAAAUAUAUAAAUUUUUAAUAAUAGUG
rnacentral:lncRNA from 1 species